GAUGAACGCUGGCGGCGUGCCUAAUACAUGCAAGUCGAGCGAACAGACGAGGAGCUUGUUCCUUCGACGUUAGCGGCGGACGGGUGAGUAACACGUAGGUAACCUACCUAUAAGACUGGGAUAACUUCGGGAAACCGGAGCUAAUACCGGAUAAUAUUUCGAACCGCAUGGUUCGAUAGUGAAAGAUGGCUUUGCUAUCACUUAUAGAUGGACCUGCGCCGUAUUAGCUAGUUGGUAAGGUAACGGCUUACCAAGGCAACGAUACGUAGCCGACCUGAGAGGGUGAUCGGCCACACUGGAACUGAGACACGGUCCAGACUCCUACGGGAGGCAGCAGUAGGGAAUCUUCCGCAAUGGGCGAAAGCCUGACGGAGCAACGCCGCGUGAGUGAUGAAGGUCUUCGGAUCGUAAAACUCUGUUAUUAGGGAAGAACAAACGUGUAAGUAACUGUGCACGUCUUGACGGUACCUAAUCAGAAAGCCACGGCUAACUACGUG
rnacentral:rRNA from 1 species